rfam:Salimicrobium flavidum strain DSM 23127 genome assembly, contig: Ga0111645_101
UCACUGCUACAACCGCUCAGAACAGGUCAUAAACCAUGGAAAUGGUACCUGGAUGGCGAGUCUUAGUUUAAUG